rnacentral:rRNA from 1 species
CCCGCUGAACUUAAGCAUAUCAAUAAGCGGAGGAAAAGAAACCAACAGGGAUUGCCCUAGUAACGGCGAGUGAAGCGGCAAUUGCUCAAAUUUGAAAUCUGGCUCCAUUCGGGGUCCGAGUUGUAAUUUGUAGAGGAAGCUUCGGUGAGGGUAACCGGCUCAAGUCCCCUGGAACGGGAUGUCAUAGAGGGUGAGAACCCCGUCCGGUCGUGUACCCAAACCAUGUGUUGCUCCUUCGACGAGUCGAGUUGUUUGGGAAUGCAGCUCAAAAUGGGUGGUAAAUUCCAUCUAAGGCUAAAUACUGGCCAGAGACCGAUAGCGCACAAGUAGAGUGAUCGAAAGAUGAAAAGAACUUUGGAAAGAGAGUUAAACAGUACGUGAAAUUGUUGAAAGGGAAACGCUUGAAGUCAGUCACGUUGGCCAGAAAUCAACUUGUAACAGGGCGUAAUUUCUGGUUUUACGGGUCAACAUCAAUUUUGAUUGUUGGAUAAAAGUCAAUAUUUAUGCGUUUUCGGACGUGUAGCCUUUGAUUGCAUACAAUGGUUGGGAUUGAGGAACUCAGCACGCCGCAAGGCCGGGUAACUUGUUACCACGUAACGUGCUUAGGAUGUUGGCAUAAUGGCUUUAAUCGACCCGUCUUGAAACACGG